UUGAACGCUGGCGGCAGGCCUAACACAUGCAAGUCGAGCGGAUGAAGGGAGCUUGCUCCUGGAUUCAGCGGCGGACGGGUGAGUAAUGCCUAGGAAUCUGCCUGGUAGUGGGGGAUAACGUCCGGAAACGGGCGCUAAUACCGCAUACGUCCUGAGGGAGAAAGUGGGGGAUCUUCGGACCUCACGCUAUCAGAUGAGCCUAGGUCGGAUUAGCUAGUUGGUGGGGUAAAGGCCUACCAAGGCGACGAUCCGUAACUGGUCUGAGAGGAUGAUCAGUCACACUGGAACUGAGACACGGUCCAGACUCCUACGGGAGGCAGCAGUGGGGAAUAUUGGACAAUGGGCGAGAGCCUGAUCCAGCCAUGCCGCGUGUGUGAAGAAGGUCUUCGGAUUGUAAAGCACUUUAAGUUGGGAGGAAGGGCAGUAAGUUAAUACCUUGCUGUUUUGACGUUACCAACAGAAUAAGCACCGGCUAACUUCGUG
rnacentral:rRNA from 1 species